AUGCUUCUUUUUAAUGAGGCCAUUAGCAAUCUUGGGUUGGUGGAACUUCCACUGCAGGGAAGACAAUUCAACUGGUCCAACAUGCAACAAUACCCUCUCCUGGAAAAACUUGAUUGGUUCUUUACCUCAGCAGCCUGGGUGACUUCUUUCCGUGACACUUACCUUGCAUGA
rnacentral:rRNA from 1 species